rnacentral:lncRNA from 1 species
GAGCUCCCCCUGAGCCGCCUGGGAGCAGGGAGGGUUCUGCUACCCUGAGGGGCCCUCCCCGCGGGGCAGAGGCCAAGAAGAAUGUGUUGGUGAAACAGAAGUGACAAACAGGGUUUCCUCAGCAGUGCCCCGGAGCAGGGACCGCGCCAGCCAGCAGAAACAGCUAGUUGUUGUCUGCAGUGAAGAAUAAUUGGAAGCAUGGUGCCUGUUUCUUUUCCUGUGGGAGGAAGUCACAGCAUCUACUUCUGAAUCUGUGCUUGCCUUGAGGAAAAACGGCAUGGCACAGGAAUGUGGACGCUUUCAACCAGAGGAUUCUGUACGACGGUGUCGGCACACAAGGAGUGUUCCACUGACUGACCUCUUUUUGUUUUCAAAUGAAGAGGAGCCAAGAAUAGGACAGCUUGGGAAGGUGAGCUGCGUAUAGCUCGUCAGGCUGAGCUCAUCCUCGUCUACGGCCAAACGUUGGUUUCUCAUUUCUAGAAGAUGAAAGAUGUGAUGACUCAGGAAAAACUGGAAUCUUAGUAACUGUGGUGGGCAUUGAGCCUUGCCGUCCACAAGAGAAAGCUUGCUGCUCGAGAUGUGAGUCUUCAGAUGUUCCUGCCGCCAUAUCUGACAGCUGCUGCCAAGAUUCCCUGGUGGGAUGGACUCUUAUACCUCAACAACCAGAAGCCCAAGUAAACUCUUCUAUAAAUUGAAUGACUCAUGCUUAAAAAAAAAAA